rnacentral:rRNA from 1 species
CACGUAGGGGGCAAGCGUUGUCCGGAUUUAUUGGGCGUAAAGAGCUCGUAGGCGGUUCGAUAAGUCGGGUGUGAAAGCUUGGGGCUUAACUCCAGGUCUGCAUUCGAUACGGGCUGGCUAGAGGUAGGUAGGGGAGAACGGAAUUCCUGGUGUAGCGGUGAAAUGCGCAGAUAUCAGGAGGAACACCGGUGGCGAAGGCGGGUCUCUGGGCCGAUACUGACGCUGAGGAGCGAAAGCGUGGGUAGCAAACAGG